rnacentral:sRNA from 1 species
UAAUACCAAGGAUGUUAAUACCAAUGAC